rnacentral:rRNA from 1 species
AUUGAACGCUGGCGGCAUGCCUUUCACAUGCAAGUCGAACGCGAAAGGGGGCAACCCCGAGUAGAGUGGCGAACGGGUGAGCAAUACAUCGGAACGUGUCCUGUAGCGGGGGACAACCUCGAGAAAUCGAGGCUAAUACCGCAUACGAUCUACGGAUGAAAGUGGGGGACCGCAAGGCCCCACACUAUAGGAGCGGCCGA